UACAACUCAAUAAAAGAAAAUUUUACAGGAGAGGCAAUUUGGGUUUCUAAAAGGAAGCAAUUACAAGAAUAGCUCAAACGUGUUUUUACUUCGGGAAGAAAUCAUCUCCUUCGCGGAUUGACGAAAAAAUUAAAUUAAACAUUCAAUAUGUUUUUUAAUUCAUUAGUAUAUUAAACAAUUGGAUAAAUGUA